UAAUACAGAGGUCCCCGAGCGUUGUUCGGAUUCACUGGGCGUAAAGGGUGCGUAGGUGGUUGGUUAAGUUUGAGGUGAAAGCUCCGGGCUCAACUCGGAAAAUGCCUUGAAGACUAUCUGACUAGAGGAUUGGAGGGGAGAUUGGAAUUCUCGGUGUAGCAGUGAAAUGCGUAGAUAUCGAGAGGAACACCAGUGGCGGAGGCGAAUCUCUGGACAAUUCCUGACACUGAGGCACGAAAGCCAAGGGAGCAAACGGGAUUAGAUACCCCGGUAGUCUUGGCUGUAAACGGUGCGCACUUGCUGUGAGCGGAUUCGACCCCGCUCGUGGCGUAGUUAACACGAUAAGUGCGCCGCCUGGGAAGUACGGUCGCAAGAUUAAAACUCAAAGAAAUUGACGGGGGCCUGCACAAGCGGUGGAGUAUGUGGCUUAAUUCGAUGCAACGCGAAGAACCUUACCUAGCCUUGACAUGCAAAUAGUAGAAGCCUGAAAGGGUGACGAGGUAGCAAUACCA
rnacentral:rRNA from 1 species